ensembl:snRNA U6 U6 spliceosomal RNA
GUGCUCACUUCAGCAGCACAUAUACUAAAAUUGUAAUGAUACAGAGAUUAGCAUGGCCCUUGCACAAGGAUGACACGCAAAUUUGUGACACAUUCCAUAUUUGU